GGUUCGUUGGUGUAGUGGUAGCACUUCUUGGUCACUGCCCUUGGAGGUCCUGAAGGGUGGCAGGGCCAACUUUGGCAGUUUGAAGAGAGAGGCCCAGCUCGAAUCUGGGACGAGCCG